CGUUUGAGCGGGAUGCAAGCUCUGCUUGUGCGAAUUUUUUCUUGUGUUUUAAGAUUAAUAGAGUCGUUUUUUUUAUAUAAAAAUGUAUGCUUAAAUUGAUAAUUAAUAUUCAGUGUACAUAUUCAUUGCAAUAAUUCACUUUGGGAACGAUUCAAGAUUGUAAUAUUGACCAUAUUAUCAUGCCAUGAUAUUUGAGGUAUAUGUCAAAGUGCAAUAGAGCUUUGUGGAAAAUUGGGAAAAAGAUGAAAAACAGAGAAAAGCACUAAGAUUCUCGAGCAUCUUCUGUAAAUAAAAGUGGUGAUUUAUUAGAAGCAUGAAUGGAAGUCAUAAUUAGGUUUUUAAUCAAUAAAUCUGGUUGACUUUUGGAGAUGGAUGAUAUAUAUCAGUAUCGGCAAUUCCAUUGGAAGGACUAGAAAAUUAAUGAUGCGAAAAAAAAUGAUCAGACAAAAGUGGCAGUAGUGUACUCGCUCUAAAACAUUGGAAUCUGUGAUUGAUUCUAUCCUCGAUGGCUUGAAGGACACAAAAUUCUCCAGUUGCAGGCUUUUUAGAACUCGGUCUAUUUUUACGGUUAUUUUUCACAUUUUCCGAAUGGAAAUUUAACUUGAAAGUAGGGAUCUCCGAGGGCUAUUUAGUUUGAAAGAAUCUCCUUGAAGCUGAAAAUUCGUUAUUAAGUUUAUUUACAAAUAAAGGACAGGACGGAUUUUUGCAGAAGUAAAGGAAACAGAGAUCUUUGAUAGUGGUCCAUAGAAGGUUUAGGAGAAGGAAAUUUACUCAACGUGGGAUUUGCCGAUCGCUUCAAUUCGAGGGGGAAGGUGUUUGUUGCGGAGCUGCUCCUGGAGGAGAACUUGUAUUGCUGAGCGCAGUUCAAUGUAUGUUAAUUUUUUUUAACUGUUCUCUAAAUGUGCAUUAGUAAAAAUUUUCACUAAUUUGAAUUAGCGACUCACUUUUUGCUUUUUAGUUAAAUUUUCCUAAUUCGAUGGUAAAUAA